CUCCAGCUGGGCUAGCCCAACCUCCUCUCCUUCCCUCUGGCAUGUACCCCAGAAUUCUAAUACAUUGUCUCAUCCAGGGCAACGAAGAAGAUAGUCAUGAUGCCUGUUCCUACAAGAGUGCUUCUCUGCCUUUUUCUCAUCAUAGAAUACAUAAGAAAAAUGAAAACAUUCAUAUGGUAAAUAGAACUAACUGUUCUCUGCCAUGGUGCUGAAGUGACUGGCCCUGAGAGCUGAGGAGAUCAAGAUCUACCUACCUGUAACCAAGGUGUUACACCCCAGAGGAAAAGCUGUGUCCUGAACAAUGCUGCCAGCAGAUACCCUAAACUUGUGCCAACCUCUAGACUCUACUCUUUGGAAGCAAGUCCCUAGCACAGCCCAAACUCACCGGUGUUAAGCUCCAUCUCAUUGAGAGGUCUUCUUCCUGCAAACUUUCUGCACUCCUAACUCCACCGCAGCAUCUGCCUUCUGGAGAACACAGCUGUCACACCUGUGUUAAGCUCCAAAGCGCUGGAGGUACCUAGUGCCUGGAUGAAACUAGAGACAUGGAGAUAUUGCACCCAAUAGGACAAGGAUGAAUCCAGCCCACAGGCCACCAGAGAGGAGGAAUACAGCUAAGUGGCUGAGGGCAUGGAUGCUAGCAGCUGGCACCAGCGCUAACCAAGGGCUUAUCAGGACAAGGGAGGCAGCUCCCCUCCAUGCCAGCCAACUGCACUUAGGUGACGAUGCUGAGGAUUUCUGCAGUCUAAGUUACUCUGAAGCUUGGGCAAAUUGUUUUACUGCCUUCAGCCUUAGUUACCCCAUAUAUAAAAUGGGAUAAGUGACACGUGUUGUUAAAGUUCACCUUUCAUCGGACCCCAAAAUGAUUCUAGAGAUAGAGAGCAGAUUAGGGGUCGCUUAGGGCUGAGGAAGAUGGGGCUAUAGGAGGCUGAUAGCUAAAGGGCACAGGGUUUCUUUCUGAUGUGAUGAAAAAGCUCUAAAAUUGACUGCGGUGAUGAUUGCAUAACUCUGUGAAUAUACUCAAAAAUCACUGAAUUGUACACUCUGAAUGAGCGAGUUGUAUAACACGUGAAUUGUAUUUCAACCAAGCUGCUAUUUUAAAACACUUAGCUCAAUGAAUCAUUGCAAGAUGAAUAACCCAUGUAACCAUCACCCAAGUCAGGAAAUGGAAUAUUCUAGAAUCCCAAAGUCCACCUACCGCCUGCGAGGACAUGUAUUUUUUGUUUGUUUGUUUAGUCUCCUGUCCCCAGAAAUCUUAUGGCACAUCUCUGAAAUAGGUCAUUUGGUGUGACUGGUAUUAACUUCCACUGGGUCUGCAAGGAAACAUGGUGGCCUCCCUGGUGAUCCUUCUCAUGAAACACAGAGUUCAUUCCUAGCGUCCUAUUUUAAAAGGGAUACUGGCAAAUCUGAGCCCAUCCCAAAGGUGUGUGAACAGAUGAGGAGAUCUAGUGUUCACAUGAACAAAAGCUGAGGAUCCAGGUCCACAUAGCCUGGAGAAAAGAUUUCUGGGGGACCGAAUUGUUGUCUUUCCAUAGUAAAGGGUUACCACAUGGAAGUGAAGGCACCUGUGCUUUGUCACCCACAGGGCAGAUCUAGGAAACAGGAGAUGGGGCAGUGCCAACAUGUAUAGUGUCCAGCAUUACAUAUGGCACGUGACACACAAAUACCACCAGAGUCAUUUAUCAAGGGCCUAGUACAUGUCGGGCUUUGCGUGUUCUCUCGAAUCCUCACAAAGACCUUGUCAGAUGGGUAUAAUAAUCCAUGUUUUGCAAAAGAGGAAUGAACUGGGAGAAGAAGAUUUGCCAAUGGGGACAGAUGAGACAGUGUGGCCCUCUUAGGCGCCAACAUCUUUAUCCUGCAUUAAAUGAACAUGCAAGCUUGUCCAACAGACAGGCAUCAAAGGCUGUUUAGAAGAGAAGGGAAAAGAAAUGGAGAGGGAGCAGGGGACCUCCCAAGCUCAUUGCAGGUGUGUCCCUAAGAACUCCAGAGGCCCGGCCAGGUACAGUGGCUCACGCCUGUAAUCCCAGCACUUUGGGAGGUGGGCGGAUCACGAGGUCAGGAGAUGGAGACCACCCUGGCUAACACGGUGAAACCCCG
rnacentral:lncRNA from 1 species